rnacentral:rRNA from 1 species
CCUACGGGAGGCAGCAGUAGGGAAUCUUGCGCAAUGGGCGAAAGCCUGACGCAGCGACGCCGCGUGAGCGAUGAAGGCCUUCGGGUUGUAAAGCUCUGUGGGGAGGGAAGAAUAAGGUAUGGCUAAUAUCCAUACUGAUGACGGUACCUCCUUAGCAAGCACCGGCUAACUCUGUGCCAGCAGCCGCGGUAAGACAGAGGGUGCAAACGUUGUUCGGAAUUACUGGGCGUAAAGCGCGUGUAGGCGGCUAUGCAAGUCGGACGUGAAAUCCCACGGCUCAACCGUGGAAGUGCGCUCGAAACUGCGUAGCUAGAGUCCUGGAGAGGAAGGUGGAAUGCUUGGUGUAGAGGUGAAAUUCGUAGAUAUCAAGCGGAACACCGGUGGCGAAGGCGGCCUUCUGGACAGUGACUGACGCUGAGACGCGAAAGCGUGGGGAGCAA